rnacentral:rRNA from 1 species
UACGGAGGGAGCUAGCGUUGUUCGGAAUUACUGGGCGUAAAGCGCACGUAGGCGGCUUUGUAAGUUAGAGGUGAAAGCCUGGGGCUCAACUCCAGAACUGCCUUUAAAACUGCAUCGCUUGAAUCCAGGAGAGGUGAGUGGAAUUCCGAGUGUAGAGGUGAAAUUCAUAGAUAUUCGGAAGAACACCAGUGGCGAAGGCGGCUCACUGGACUGGUAUUGACGCUGAUGAGCGAAAGCUAGGGGAGCAAACGGG